rnacentral:tRNA from 1 species
AGGGAUUUAGGAUAAAACAAGACCAAGAGCCUUCAAAGCUCUAAGUAGAAGUGAAAAUCUUCUAAUCCCUG